rnacentral:rRNA from 1 species
CAAGUCGAACGAAUCCCAGGGGGGUAACUCUCUGGGGGAAGUGGCGAAAGGGGCAGUAAGGCGUGGGUAACCUACCCCGGGGACCGGGAUAGCCACCCUAACGGGUGGGUAAUACCGGGCGAUCUGGCGAGGGGGCAUCCUCUUGUCAGGAAACGAAUCUCGCCUCGGGAGGGGCUCACGUAGUAUUAGCUUGUUGGCGGGGUAACGGCCCACCAAGGCCAAGAUGCUUAGCGGGUGUGAGAGCACGACCCGCGCCACUGGCACUGAGACACUGGCCAGACUCCUACGGGAGGCUGCAGUCGAGGAUCUUCGGCAAUGGGCGCAAGCCUGACCGAGCGACGCCGCGUGUGCGAUGAAGGCCUUCGGGUUGUAAAGCACUGUCGAGGGGGAGGAAAGCCCGCAAGGGUCUGACCUAUCCCUGGAGGAAGCACGGGCUAAGUUCGUGCCAGCAGCCGCGGUAAGACGAACCGUGCGAACGUUGUUCGGAUUCACUGGGCUUAAAGGGCGCGUAGGCGGGCGGUCAAGUCGGGGGUGAAAUCUUUCAGCUUAACUGGAAACGUGCCUUCGAUACUGAUCGCCUCGAGGGAGGUAGGGGCAUGUGGAACUUCCGGUGGAGCGGUGAAAUGCGUAGAUAUCGGAAGGAACGCCGGUGGCGAAAGCGACGUGCUGGACCUCUUCUGACGCUGAGGCGCGAAAGCCAGGGGAGCAAACGGGAUUAGAUACCCCGGUAGUCCUGGCCCUAAACGAUGGGUACUAGGUUGUGGACUU